UACGGAGGGGGCUAGCGUUGUUCGGAAUUACUGGGCGUAAAGCGCGCGUAGGCGGCUUUGCAAGUCAGGGGUGAAAUCCUGGAGCUCAACUCCAGAACUGCCUUUGAUACUGAGGAGCUUGAGUCCGGGAGAGGUGAGUGGAACUGCGAGUGUAGAGGUGAAAUUCGUAGAUAUUCGCAAGAACACCAGUGGCGAAGGCGGCUCACUGGCCCGGUACUGACGCUGAGGUGCGAAAGCGUGGGGAGCAAACAGG
rnacentral:rRNA from 1 species